rnacentral:rRNA from 1 species
UGGGUAACCUGCCUCAAAGAGGGGAAUAGCCUCCCGAAAGGGAGAUUAAUACCGCAUAAUAUGUUUUAAUCGCAUGAUUUUAACAUCAAAGGAUUUUCUUCGGAACUUCCACUUUGAGAUGGACCCGCGGCGCAUUAGCUAGUUGGUGAGGUAACGGCUCACCAAGGCAACGGACGGGUAGCUGGU